UUGUUGAUGAUCAAAGAUGAAUGGAUCUUCAGAUCUGCUCUGCUGCAGUGACAGACUCUGCUGUGAGGCCCACAGUGACAGCAAACCCACAGAGAUGCUCCACUAGAGGGCGACAUCAUCCAGUAGGCGGUGCUCUCCUUCUGCACUGUGUUCAACCAUUGUGUCAAUAAUAAGUGCUGCUGUGAAGAGAACAAUUCUCAGACUGAAUGUUGAACAUCAGCUAGUUUCUCCUGUUGAUUGAAACCUUGUUGUACAGAUGGAACAUUGGCUGUGGAUUAUUCUUGCUGCUCUUUUCUUUGAGUGUAAAGGAGAAGACAAAGUGAUCCAGGAACAAGGAGAUGUCAUUGCUGCUGAAGGAGACACAGUUACACUUGGAUGUCAGUAUGAGAGCAGUGUAACAAAUAAUUAUCUCUUCUGGUACAAACAGGAUGGAAACAACAGCCCCAAAUUCAUCCUGAGUCGCUUUAGCAGGGAUGAUGGAGACACAGCAGACGAGUUCAAGGAGAGAUUUUCAUCCACACUGGAUUCCAGCAUCAAAUCAGUUCCUCUGAAGAUCCAGAAGCUUCAGCUGUCUGACUCUGCUGUGUACUACUGUGCUCUGCAGCCCACAGUGACAGGAAACACCAAAACUCUGUACAAAAACCUUUGGAGCAAAGACAACAGAAUACUCCACAACAUCCACUAGAGGGAGCCA